GGGGCGGUAGCUCAGUGGGAGAGUGGAAGAUUGCAACGACCUGACUGGUUGAGCCAUUGCAAGCUAUCUUUAGGUCGCCGGUUCGAUCCCGGCCCGUCCCU